UACGUAGGGAGCAAGCGUUGUCCGGAAUCAUUGGGCGUAAAGAGCGCGUAGGUGGCUUUAUAAGUCCGUUGUGAAAGUCAAAGGCUCAACCUUUGAAAGCCGAUGGAUACUGUGAAGCUAGAGUACGGAAGAGGCGAGUGGAAUUCCUAGUGUAGAGGUGGAAUUCGUAGAUAUUAGGAAGAACACCAGUGGCGAAGGCGGCUCACUGGUCCGGUACUGACGCUGAGGUGCGAAAGCGUGGGGAGCAAACAGG
rnacentral:rRNA from 1 species